rnacentral:rRNA from 1 species
UUCCGGUUGAUCCUGCCAGAGGUCACUGCUAUCGGGGUUCGAUUAAGCCAUGCGAGUCGAGAGGGUUCGGCCCUCGGCGUACUGCUCAGUAACACGUGGAUAACCUGCCCUAGGGGAGGGGAUAACCCCGGGAAACUGGGGAUAAUACCCUAUAGGUUACAGAUGCUGGAAUGCCCUGUAACCAAAAGCUCCGGCGCCCUAGGAUGGAUCUGCGGCCGAUUAGGUUGUUGUUGGGGUAACGGCCCAACAAGCCCGUAAUCGGUACGGGUUGUGGGAGCAAGAGCCCGGAGUUGAAUUCUGAGACACGAAUCCAGGCCCUACGGGGCGCAGCAGGCGCGAAACCUUUACAAUGCGGGCAACCGUGAUAAGGGAACCUCGAGUGCCUGUAAACGCAGGCUGUUCAGGUGUUUAAAACGCACCUGGAGAAAGGGCCGGGCAAGACCGGUGCCAGCCGCCGCGGUAAUACCGGCGGCUCGAGUGGUGGCCGCUUUUAUUGGGCUUAAAGCGCUCGUAGCUGGGUUGUUAAGUCUCUUGGGAAAUCUGGCGGCUUAACCGUCAGGCGUCUAAGGGAUACUGGCAAUCUUGGAACCGGGAGAGGUGAGGGGUACUUCGGGGGUAGGGGUGAGAUCCUGUAAUCCUCGAGGGACCACCUGUGGCGAAGGCGCCUCACCAGAACGGCUUCGACAGUGAGGGACGAAAGCUGGGGGAGCAAACCGGAUUAGAUACCCGGGUAGUCCCAGCCGUAAACGAUGCGCGUUAGGUGUAUCUGGUGACCACGAGUUACCGAGGUGCCGAGGGAAACCGUGAAAACGCGCCGCCCGGNAAUACGGUCCGCCAG